CCCUCCCCUAGAGGCUUUGCAGGUGUGGCUGCUCUGUCACAUAUGUGUCCAUAGGUGACAGAGAGGAGAGAAGUUAUGUCUAUGCCCGGUGUUCUGACCUGUGAACAUCUGAAUGAUUAGUAGCCUAACAAU